UCAAAACAGCGGCCUUCGGGCCUCGCUGCAACCCUUGUCUUUUGCGCACCGUAUUGUUUCCUCGGCGGGCUUGCCUGCCGGUUGGACAUCAUAAAACCUUUUUGUAGUUGCAAUCAGGCGUCAGAAAAACAAUAAUAUUA
rnacentral:misc_RNA from 1 species